GUAAUAUAUCGGAACGUGCCCAGGUCUGGGGGGAUAACGUAGCGAAAGCUACGCUAAUACCGCAUACGAUCUAUGGAUGAAANCGGGGGAUCGCAAGACCUCGCGCGAUUGGAGCGGCCGAUAUCAGAUUAGGUAGUUGGUGAGGUAAAGGCUCACCAAGCCGACGAUCUGUAGCUGGUCUGAGAGGACGACCAGCCACACUGGGACUGAGACACGGCCCAGACUCCUACGGGAGGCAGCAGUGGGAAUUUUGGACAAUGGGCGCAAGCCUGAUCCAGCAAUGCCGCGUGCAGGAUGAAGGCCUUCGGGUUGUAAACUGCUUUUGUACGGAACGAAACGGUGAGCUCUAAUACAGUUUGCUAAUGACGGUACCGUAAGAAUAAGCACCGGCUAACUACGUG
rnacentral:rRNA from 1 species